AGUGUCUGUUCUGGCGUGCAGCGAUUAUGGUUUCCCUGAUAAUGUCCGGAACAAGAUGCAAGAAUAGACAAAAAUGACAGCCCUUCUACGAGUGAUUAGCCUGGUCGUGAUUAGCGUGGUGGUGAUUAUUAUCCCACCGUGCGGGGCUGCACUUGGACGAGGAAAGGCUUAGAAAUCAAGCCUUAACGAACUAAGACCCCCGCACCGAAAGGUCCGGGGGUUUUUUUUGGCCUGAAAAACUUAAGCGAGGAACAGAACGUGAAUAACAGCAUAAAAUUCUGUUUCUCAAGAU
rfam:Salmonella enterica subsp. enterica serovar Macclesfield str. S-1643 chromosome, complete genome.